rnacentral:rRNA from 11 species
AAGGCGGGGACGACGUCAAGUCAUCAUGGCCCUUACGCCCAGGGCUACACACGUGCUACAAUGGCAGUGACAGAGGGCAGCUAGAUCGCAAGAUCAUGCGAAUCUCCAAAAACCGUCUCAGUUCGGAUUGCACUCUGCAACUCGAGUGCAUGAAGUCGGAAUUGCUAGUAAUCGCGGAUCAGCAUGCCGCGGUGAAUACGUUCCCGGGCCUUGUACACACCG